UACGUAGGGUGCAAGCGUUGUCCGGAAUUAUUGGGCGUAAAGAGCGUGUAGGCGGCUUGGUAGGUCCGCUGUGAAAACUCGAGGCUCAACCUCGAGACGUCGGCGGAAACCAUCUGGCUAGAGUCCGGAAGAGGAGAGUGGAAUUCCUGGUGUAGCGGUGAAAUGCGCAGAUAUCAGGAAGAACACCCGUGGCGAAGGCGGCUCUCUGGGACGGUACUGACGCUGAGACGCGAAAGCGUGGGGAGCGAACAGG
rnacentral:rRNA from 1 species